rnacentral:RNase_P_RNA from 1 species
CGAGUCGGCCAGGCAGUCGCUGGCACCAUGAGCGAUAUUCGCAUGUGGCGCGAGAGGAAAGUCCGGGCUCCAUAGGGCAAGGUGCCAGGUAACACCUGGGGGGCGUGAGCCCAUGGAAAGUGCAGCAGAGAGUAGACCGCCUAAGGUGCGUCGCAUUGCGGCGUAAACGGCAAGGGUGAAAGGGUGCGGUAAGAGCGCACCGCGUGCGUGGUAACACGGCAUGGCUAGGUAAACCCCGCCUGGAGCAAGGCCAAAUAGGAAUCCUACGAUGUGGCCCGCAUCGGAUUCGGGUAGGCCGCCAGAGGCGUUUGGUGACAGACGUCCUAGAUGAAUGACUGCCGACAACGGUGCUUGCGCCGUUGUGACAGAACCCGGCUUAUCGGCCGACUCAACUG